rnacentral:ncRNA from 2 species
CUUUCCGAGGAGCGUUGCAGCCCGCCCCCUGUCCCAUGUGAACAGGGUUGCGAGCGAGGCUCGGAAUCCGGUGGGCCGCCCAGGUUCGCCGCCCUCCAACCGCGCUCACCCACG